rnacentral:rRNA from 1 species
AUGGCUGCCAAACAAAAGAAGUCUGUUGUGACACAAACUGAAGCACUAAGGCAGGAAGAACCUCGCAUUAUCUUCCCUGCCAGCAUGACAGGCUCGAAGCCUAAGGUCGCCUCAGCAACUUCAGAGCUGAAGAAGACAAGGGCAGUUGAAGCCGAAGCCAAGAAGUGCAAGCACAAGGAUGCUUCUGAUGAGGCCCCAUCAACGAAGAAGUUGAAGACAAAGUCUUCAAAGAAAGAGCGUGUUGCGGCCUCUCAGCCCCUCAUUGUUGAACCUAUCUCUGUCGCUCUUCCAGCCACCAACAACCAAGAAUGA